AGUGAACGCUGGCGGUAGGCCUAACACAUGCAAGUCGAACGGCAGCACAGUAAAACUUUGCCCUUACGGGUGGCGAGUGGCGGACGGGUGAGGAAUACAUCGGAAUCUAUUUUUUCGUGGGGGAUAACGUAGGGAAAUUUACGCUAAUACCGCAUACGACCUACGGGUGAAAGCAGGGGAUCUUCGGACCUUGCGCGUUUGAUUGAGCCGAUGUCGGAUUAGCUAGUUGGCGGGGUAAAGGCCCACCAAGGCGACGAUCCGUAGCUGGUCUGAGAGGAUGAUCAGCCACACUGGAACUGAGACACGGUCCAGACUCCUACGGGAGGCAGCAGUGGGGAAUAUUGGACAAUGGGCGCAAGCCUGAUCCAGCCAUACCGCGUGGGUGAAGAAGGCCUUCGGGUUGUAAAGCCCUUUUGUUGGGAAAGAAAAGCAGCAGGUUAAUACCCCGCUGUUCUGACGGUACCCAAAGAAUAAGCACCGGCUAACUUCGUG
rnacentral:rRNA from 1 species